rnacentral:rRNA from 1 species
UGAGUACGAGACGCUAAGGCGUCGAAGUAGUGGAUGUCAUACUUCCAAGAAAAGCUUGCACUGUCACAAAUAAGAAAUGCCUGUACCAUAACCGACACAGGUGGGUAAGUAGAGUAUACUAAGGGGCGCGAGAUAACUCUCUCUAAGGAACUCGGCAAAAUAACUCCGUAACUUCGGGAGAAGGAGUGCCUUAUUCUUAAGGUUGCAAUAACAAGAUCCAAGCAACUGUUUAUCAAAAACACAGGUCUCCGCUAAGUCGUAAGACGAUGUAUGGGGGCUGACGCCUGCCCAGUGCCAGAAGGUUAAAGAAGUCGGUUAGCAAUAGCAAAGCUGGUAACUGAAGCCCUGGUGAACGGCGGCCGUAACUAUAACGGUCCUAAGGUAGCGAAAUUCCUUGUCGGGUAAGUUCCGACCCGCACGAAAGGCGUAAUGAUUUGGAUGCUGUCUCGGAGAGGGGCUCGGUGAAAUAGACUUGUCUGUGAAGAUGCGGACUACCUGCACCAGGACAGAAAGACCCUAUGAAGCUUUACUGUAACUUGAAAUUGAAAUUGGACUUUAUUCGCGCAGUAUAGGUGGGAGGCGUUAUUAUAAUCUUGUGGGAUUAUUGGAGCCAUCAGUGAGAUACCACUCUUGUAAUGUUAGAUUUCUAACUUUGAGUCAUUAUCUGGUCAAAGGACAGUUUCAGGCGGGCAGUUUGACUGGGGCGGUCGCCUCCUAAACGGUAACGGAGGCGUACAAAGGUUUCCUCUGAACGGUUAGAAAUCGUAUCUAGAGUGUAAAGGCAUAAGGAAGCUUGACUGUGAGACCUACAAGUCGAGCAGGGACGAAAGUCGGUCUUAGUGAUCUGACGGUACUGAGUGGAAAGGCCGUCACUCAACGGAUAAAAGUUACUCUAGGAUAACAGGCUGAUCUCCCCCAAGAGUUCACAUCGACGGGGAGGUUUGGCACCUUGAUGUCGGCUCAUCGCAUCCUGGGGCGGUAGUACGUCCCAAGGGUUGGGCUGUUCGCCCAUGAAAGCGGUACGCGAGCUGGGUUCAGAACGUCGUGAGACAGUUCGGUCCAUAUCCGGUGUAGGCGCUAGAAUAUUGAGAGGAGCCUUCUUUAGUACGAGAGGACCGAGAAGGACAUACCUCUGGUGUACCAGUUAUCGUGCCAACGGUAAACGCUGGGUAGCUAUGUAUGGAGUGGAUAACCGCUGAAAGCAUCUAAGUGGGGAGCCCACCUCAAGAUAAGUAUUCUCAUCACGUAAGUGAGUAAGGUCACGGUAAGACUAACCGUUUGAUAGGCAUUAAGUGUAAGUACAGUAAUGUAUGUGCUGAGAUGUCCUAAUAGACCGAGGACUUG